rnacentral:ncRNA from 1 species
UAAUGAUAAAGGCAAACCCUGAGUGAUCAGGGGGCGCAAAGUAAAAGGGUCUUACCGCAAAAUGAGUUUGCGGGAAAAAAGUAUUAUCGUAAACGCAGAGUUUGAUUGUCCUUGUGUGCAGAGUCAUAGAAAUGGAUUUAUGCUGAUGCACUUGUGUUGAUCUAUAGGCGUUUACUAUAAUGUUAAGCGUAUUAAGAAAAUACGCAUUUAUUAAGACAGCCUUACUGCCAAA